rnacentral:rRNA from 1 species
UACGUAGGGUGCGAGCGUUGUCCGGAUUUAUUGGGCGUAAAGCGCUCGCAGGUGGUUCGUCGCGUCGUGCGUGAAAGACCCCGGCUCAACUGGGGAGGGUCGUGCGAUACGGGCGGACUGGAGGCCAGUAGGGGGAUGCGGAAUUCCGGGUGUAGUGGUGGAAUGCGUAGAGAUCCGGAGGAACACCAGCGGCGAAGGCGGCAUCCUGGACUGGUCCUGACACUCAUGAGCGAAAGCGUGGGGAGCGAUCCGG